rnacentral:sRNA from 1 species
UUCAGCGGUGUUGAUUGCUGGCCCGGA